GUGUGUGUGUGUGCGCGUGGAGGGUUGACGAACACGCUGAAAAAUUCACACACCGUUUGAGUUUACCUGAUUUUGUACUCGUGCACACAACACAUUUUUAAACUCAGCGCACCUGCCCUGUGCUCACAGAGGAGCUGGCUGCAUCAGAAAAACAUCAGAGAGAAUCACUUCUUGUCUGUCUGCGAGUCUGGAUGUGAGCGCCGUGUUUACGUCUGAGGAAACAGGGAAAGCAAACAUCAAGGUCAAAGAUGCUGGAGCCUGUCCAAGCAAUAGAUAGCCUUCUCCCUAACACAGCUGCAGACCUGCUUUAACAUAUAAUAUGUCCCAGAGGGGCAACAAAGCAUUAGAUAGCUGGGUUUAGUUUAGAAUACUCAGAAUGGUUACAGUAAAGAGUUAUUUGUCUUUAUAAUUUUCACCGGACAUGUUAGACCCUUUAUCCACACAGAAACACAAUAUCUGACCAGAUAUAGUGUGGACAUAAGGGUCUAGCAUACACUUCAAAUCAAACCUAACAUAUAAUUUAGAAAUGUUUAAGCUCAAUCUUUUAGCUUAGUCUUGUCAUUCAUUGUCUCACUGUCCAGCAGACGGACUAAACAUAAUCCUGAUGCCUGCUCUUAACGCUGACCUCAUUAGCCAGACGUCCAUGGGCAUCUCUAGGUCAUCUCCACUAAAACAAAGAGUAACCAGUCUUUACUCUUCCAUCCUGUUUCUUUAUCCCUCUGUCAGUCCAGCACUCAAUCCACACAUUCUGUUUUUUUUUCUAUGUCUCUGUGUCCAUCUGUCUUGAAUUAUGUAUUCUAAUGCAUUUAGAGCGAGGCACAAAGUGGCAGACCACACUGGACUGCUUUUAGUCGUGCCAUGCGUCGCCAUCCAAUGGAUCACAGGAAAAGCCCGAGAAGUCUCCGUCCUUCUUGUCUGCGUGUUAGAGGUUGUCUCUGUUUCCGACACUAAAAGCCUGGAAAAUGGAGCAGGAUGAGAGGAGGAGAGAAGGAGUGAGAGGAGAGAGGGAGAGGAGGGCCCGGCGGUGAGGCCUGUCCGUCUACCUCCUUCGGCCUGGCUGGCUAACCGGUCUGAACCGGUUCUGACAUAGGUGAACCGGAGACGUGUCCUCUUUCGCCUCUGGACAAAAAAGAAUCUUGGUGGCAUUCCAUCUAUAGGCAACAGGUACCAGGCGUGUGUGUGUGUGUGUGUGUGUAUGUACGUGUAUGUGUGUGUGUGUGCAUGUGUAUGUGUGUGUGUCUGUCUGUCUCCCAAGACCUUUGAGGCCUGGAUCAUUGCCAAGUUCAUCUGUUAAUGGACAGCUACGAGGAGAGUUUCCCCAUCCCCCCUCUUGCCCUGCUCGUCGUCUCUGCAGCAGCCGUCCCUGCUCACGACCCCCCCUUAACCUCCCCAACCCCCCUAUCCAGGCCCGUUCAGAUCCAGACCUACCCUCUCCCUCUACUCCUUUUCUCUUCCUCCUCCUGAAAGCUAUAUCAUUCCCUUUUCUCCCUUCUCUCCUCCUCCUUUCUGCCCCCCCAGCACUCCGUGCUUCACCCAUUCAAGAUAAACAGAGUGCUUCAAGUUCAGCAGACACCCUGGGACCCUUUAACAAAGCCAUCUAUCAUGCUGUCUGCCUUGGACUUCUUGGGCCACAUUGGGCUCUGCUGCUGCKGCUUCUCUGUCCGUCUCUGAGUCCAGAGUCUGGACACCUACAGGCUGGACCCAGACCAGCCAACACUCCUGCUGACUCUGACUAGCUGCUUUUACUAUCUGAUCCUGAGCUGGACAAUUUCCCCAUUGUGUCUCUGGCCCCUACUGGCCCCCUCCAAGACCACAGUAAAAAAAAAAA